rnacentral:rRNA from 1 species
CGAGGGGCAGCGGGGUAGUGCUUGCACUACUGCCGGCGACCGGCGCACGGGUGAGUAACACGUAUGGAACCUGCCCGCAGCAGGGGGAUAAGCGGAAGAAAUUCCGUCUAAUACCGCGUAACAACGUUGGGAGGCAUCUCCCGAUGUUUAAAGAUUUAUCGGCUGCGGAUGGCCAUGCGGCGCAUUAGCUAGUUGGCGGGGUAACGGCCCACCGAGGCGACGAUGCGUAGGGGUUCUGAGAGGAAGGUCCCCCACACUGGUACUGAGACACGGACCAGACUCCUACGGGAGGCAGCAGUGAGGAAUAUUGGUCAAUGGCCGAGAGGCUGAACCAGCCAAGUCGCGUGAGGGAAGACGGCCCUACGGGUUGUAAACCUCUUUUGUCGGGGAGCAAAGCGAACCACGUGUGGUUCAUUGAGAGUACCCGAAGAAAAAGCAUCGGCUAACUCCGUGCCAGCAGCCGCGGUAAUACGGAGGAUGCGAGCGUUAUCCGGAUUUAUUGGGUUUAAAGGGUGCGCAGGCGGAGGUGCAAGUCAGCGGUCAAAUUGCGGGGCUCAACCCCGUACUGCCGUUGAAACUGCAUCCCUUGAGUG